UGGAGGAAAGCAGGGGAUCGCAAGACCUUGCGCUUUUGGAGUGGCCGAUGCCUGAUUAGCUAGUUGGUGGGGUAAGAGCCUACCAAGGCGACGAUCAGUAGUUGGUCUGAGAGGACGACCAGCCACACUGGGACUGAGACACGGCCCAGACUCCUACGGGAGGCAGCAGUGGGGAAUUUUGGACAAUGGGCGAAAGCCUGAUCCAGCAAUGCCGCGUGAGUGAAGAAGGCCUUCGGGUUGUAAAGCUCUUUCAGUCGAGAAGAAAAGAUUGUGAUGAAUAAUCACAGUUCAUGACGGUAUCGACAGAAGAAGCACCGGCUAACUACGUGCCAGCAGCCGCGGUAAUACGUAGGGUGCAAGCGUUAAUCGGAAUUACUGGGCGUAAAGGGUGCGCAGGCGGCUUUGUAAGUCAGAUGUGA
rnacentral:rRNA from 1 species